rnacentral:rRNA from 1 species
ACGAACGCUGGCGGCGUGCUUAACACAUGCAAGUCGAACGGAAAGGCCCUGCUUUUGUGGGGUGCUCGAGUGGCGAACGGGUGAGUAACACGUGAGUAACCUGCCCUUGACUUUGGGAUAACUUCAGGAAACUGGGGCUAAUACCGGAUAGGAGCUCCUGCUGCAUGGUGGGGGUUGGAAAGUUUCGGCGGUUGGGGAUGGACUCGCGGCUUAUCGGCUUGUUGGUGGGGUAGUGGCUUACCAAGGCUUUGACGGGUAGCCGGCCUGAGAGGGUGACCGGCCACAUUGGGACUGAGAUACGGCCCAGACUCCUACGGGAGGCAACAGUGGGGAAUAUUGCACAAUGGGCGGAAGCCUGAUGCAGCAACGCCGCGUGCGGGAUGACGGCCUUCGGGUUGUAAACCGCUUUCGCCUGUGACGAAGCGUGAGUGACGGUAAUGGGUAAAGAAGCACCGGCUAACUACGU